rnacentral:rRNA from 1 species
AACGAACGCUGGCGGCAUGCCUAACACAUGCAAGUCGAACGAGACCUUCGGGUCUAGUGGCGCACGGGUGCGUAACGCGUGGGAACCUGCCCUUAGGUUCGGAAUAACUCCCCGAAAGGGGUGCUAAUACCGGAUAAUGUCUUCGGACCAAAGAUUUAUCGCCUUUGGAUGGGCCCGCGUUGGAUUAGCGAGUUGGUAGGGUAAAAGCCUACCAAGGCGACGAUCCAUAGCUGGUCUGAGAGGAUGAUCAGCCACACUGGGACUGAGACACGGCCCAGACUCCUACGGGAGGCAGCAGUGGGGAAUAUUGGACAAUGGGCGAAAGCCUGAUCCAGCAAUGCCGCGUGAGUGAUGAAGGCCUUAGGGUUGUAAAGCUCUUUUACCCGGGAUGAUAAUGACAGUACCGGGAGAAUAAGCUCCGGCUAACUCCGUA